GGCUCAUAUCAUUUAUAAGACAUUAAGCAGCAGUAGUCACACUAGAGUAGUCUAGCUUCUUCUAAAUUAAACACUAAAGAAACAUGCUGAGAACAUCGACACAGUAGGUGGUAUAAGCAAGCAAGUGUCCACCAUGGCAAAACUGAUUUAUCCAUAAGUACACGAUCGCCCAUGACUGUACUAGGCAGAAUAGAAUAGACAUAAGGUCAGCAUAACGAAGCAAUACAUAUACUAUAAAAAUUUAAGGAUUUGGUACUCG